rnacentral:rRNA from 1 species
GAUGAACGCUGGCGGCGUGCCUAAUACAUGCAAGUCGAGCGAACAGACGAGGAGCUUGCUCCUCUGACGUUAGCGGCGGACGGGUGAGUAACACGUGGAUAACCUACCUAUAAGACUGGGAUAACUUCGGGAAACCGGAGCUAAUACCGGAUAAUAUAUUGAACCGCAUGGUUCAAUAGUGAAAGACGGUUUUGCUGUCACUUAUAGAUGGAUCCGCGCCGCAUUAGCUAGUUGGUAAGGUAACGGCUUACCAAGGCAACGAUGCGUAGCCGACCUGAGAGGGUGAUCGGACACACUGGAACUGAGACAAGGUCCAGACUCCUACGGGAGGCAGCAGUAGGGAAUCUUCCGCAAUGGGCGAAAGCCUGACGGAGCAACGCCGCGUGAGUGAUGAAGGUCUUCGGAUCGUAAAACUCUGUUAUUAGGGAAGAACAAAUGUGUAAGUAACUAUGCACGUCUUGACGGUACCUAAUCAGAAAGCCACGGCUAACUACGUG